UAGGGAAUCUUCCGCAAUGGGCGAAAGCUUGACGGAGCAACGCCGCGUGAGUGAUGAAGGUCUUCGGAUCGUAAAACUCUGUUAUUAGGGAAGAACAAAUGUGUAAGUAAAUAUGCACGUCUUGACGGUACCUAAUCAGAAAGCCACGGCUAACUACGUGCCAGCAGCCGCGGUAAUACGUAGGUGGCAAGCGUUAUCCGGAAUUAUUGGGCGUAAAGCGCGCGUAGGCGGUUUUUUAAGUCUGAUGUGAAAGCCCACGGCUCAACCGUGGAGGGUCAUUGGAAACUGGAACACUUGAGUGCAGGAGAGGAGAGUGGAAUUCCAUGUGUAGCGGUGAAAUGCGCAGAGAUAUGGAGGAACACCAGUGGCGAAGGCGACUUUCUGGUCUGUAACUGACGCUGAUGUGCGAAAGCGUGGGGAUCAAACAGG
rnacentral:rRNA from 1 species